rnacentral:rRNA from 1 species
GACGAACGCUGGCGGCGUGCCUAACACAUGCAAGUCGAACGAAGCUCCCCGAUACAAGGCUUCGGCCAAGUUGAAGGGAUGACUUAGUGGCGGACGGGUGAGUAACGCGUGAGGAACCUGCCUUUCAGUGGGGGACAACAGUUGGAAACGGCUGCUAAUACCGCAUAAUGUUUCUGGACCGCAUGAUCUGGAAACCAAAGCUUUAUGUGCUGAAAGAUGGCCUCGCGUCUGAUUAGAUAGUUGGUGAGGUAACGGCCCACCAAGUCUACGAUCAGUAGCCGGACUGAGAGGUUGAACGGCCACAUUGGGACUGAGAUACGGCCCAGACUCCUACGGGAGGCAGCAGUGGGGAAUCUUCCGCAAUGGACGAAAGUCUGACGGAGCAACGCCGCGUGAACGAUGACGGCCUCGGUUGUAAGUUACUGUUAUACGGGUACGAAGUAGGCGUAGCGGUCGAAUACCGUUACGACGUGAC